rnacentral:snRNA from 1 species
AUGCUCGCUUUCGGCAGCACAUUAUACUAAAUUUGCAACGAUACAGAGAAGAUUAGCAUGGCUCCUGGCGCAAGGAUGACACGCAAAUUCGGUGAAGCGUUCCAUUAUUUU